UAAAGCUCUUUUGGUCGGAAAGAAAAAAUCAUGGUUAAUAGUCAUGAUUUAUGACGGUACCGACAGAAAAAGCACCGGCUAACUACGUGCCAGCAGCCGCGGUAAU
rnacentral:rRNA from 1 species